CCCGCUGAACUUAAGCAUAUCAAUAAGCGGAGGAAAAGAAACUAACAAGGAUUCCCCUAGUAACUGCGAGUGAAGCGGGAAAAGCUCAAAUUUAAAAUCUGGUGGUCUUUGGCCAUCCGAGUUGUAAUUUAGAGAAGCGUCUUCCGCGCUGGACCGUGCACAAGUCUCCUGGAAUGGAGCGUCACAGAGGGUGAGAAUCCCGUCUUUGGCAUGGACACACCAGGGCUUUUGUGAUGCGCUCUCGAAGAGUCGAGUUGUUUGGGAAUGCAGCUCAAAAUGGGUGGUGAACUCCAUCUAAAGCUAAAUAUUGGCGAGAGACCGAUAGCGAACAAGUACCGUGAGGGAAAGAUGAAAAGCACUUUGGAAAGAGAGUGAAACAGUACGUGAAAUUGUUGAAAGGGAAACGCUUGAAGUCAGUCGCGUCGACCGAGACUCAGCCUUGCCUCGGCUUGGUGUACUUCUCGGCUGACGGGUCAGCAUCAAUUUCGAUCCUUGGAUAAUGGCAAGGGAAAGGUAGCACCUUUACAGGUGUGUUAUAGUCCUCUGUCGAAUGCAAGGGUCGGGAUUGAGGAACUCAGCACGCGCCUUGUCGGUGUCGGGGCCUUUUGGCCUACGUACGUGCUUAGGAUGCUGGCAUAAUGGCUUUAAACGACCCGUCUUGAAACACGG
rnacentral:rRNA from 1 species